rnacentral:tRNA from 1 species
GAGGAUGUAGCUCAGUUGGUAGAGCACUUGCCUCAAAUGCAGAAGGCUUUGGGUUCAAUCCCCAGCACCACA